AAUGGGGGCAACCCUGACGCAGCGACGCCGCGUGAGUGAGGAAGGCCUUCGGGUCGUAAAGCUCUGUCAAAGGGAAAGAAAUGUAUAAUGGCUAAUACCUGUUAUAUUUGACGGUACCCUUAAAGGAAGCACCGGCUAACUCCGUGCCAGCAGCCGCGGUAAUACGGAGGGUGCAAGCGUUGUUCGGAAUCACUGGGCGUAAAGGGCGCGCAGGCGGUUUGGUAAGUCAGAUGUGAAAGCCCACGGCUUAACCGUGGAAGUGCAUUUGAAACUGCCAGACUUGAGUACCAGAGGGGAAAGUGGAAUUCCCGGUGUAGAGGUGAAAUUCGUAGAUAUCGGGAGGAAUACCGGUGGCGAAGGCGACUUUCUGGCUGGAUACUGACGCUGAGGCGCGAAAGCGUGGGGAGCAAA
rnacentral:rRNA from 1 species